rnacentral:misc_RNA from 1 species
AACGCAAAUUGCACUCCCUGGCAUUCCGGGGAGUAUGCCUGUUUGAGGGUCAGUUUAAAUUAAUAUCGUUGUGUUGCUUUUUGUGACGCUUCGGAAUUGGGUUAUCUUGAUCCCUCUGGGUUAAGUGACCUAAAAUUGAUGUAUCUCUGUGCAUCUCGGACGUACAUAAGAAUUUUUUCCUAUCCGUCAGGGUUGUCAGGUCCUUAUUAGGUAUGAUCACGUUGCUUGUGAAAUCUGUACCUAUAACGUAACUCAUAUUUUGACCUCAAAUCAGGUAAGAAAACCCGCUGAACUUAA